rnacentral:rRNA from 1 species
GCUAAGAAUAUUCCGCAAUGGACGAAAGUCUGACGGAGCGACGCCGCGUGGAUGAGGAAGGCCGAAAGGUUGUAAAGUCCUUUUGUCGAUGAAGAAUAAGUGGUGGAGGGAAUGCCAUCAUGAUGACGUUAGUCGGCGAAUAAGCCCCGGCUAAUUACGUGCCAGCAGCCGCGGUAACACGUAAGGGGCAAGCGUUGUUCGGAAUUAUUGGGCGUAAAGGGUACGUAGGCGGUUAUGUAAGCCCGGCGUGAAAUCCUGCAGCUUAACUGUAGAGCUGCGCUGGGAACUGCGUAACUUGAGUCAUGGAAGGGAAGUUAGAAUUCCAGGUGUAGGGGUGAAAUCUGUAGAUAUCUGGAAGAAUACCGGUGGCGAAGGCGAACUUCUGGCCAAUGACUGACGCUGAGGUACGAAAGUGCGGGGAGCAAACAGGAUUAGAAACCCUGGUAGUCC